GAUGAACGCUGGCGGCGUGCUUAACACAUGCAAGUCGAACGAAGAUGCCGGAGUGCUUGCACUUUGGCAGACUGAGUGGCGGACGGGUGAGUAACGCGUGGGUAACCUGCCUUAUACAGGGGGAUAACAGUUGGAAACGACUGCUAAUACCGCAUAAGCGCACGGUAUCGCAUGAUACAGUGUGAAAAACUCCGGUGGUAUAAGAUGGACCCGCGUCUGAUUAGCUAGUUGGUGAGGUAACGGCCCACCAAGGCGACGAUCAGUAGCCGGCCUGAGAGGGUGAACGGCCACAUUGGGACUGAGACACGGCCCAAAACUCCUACGGGAGGCAGCAGUGGGGAAUAUUGCACAAUGGGGGAAACCCUGAUGCAGCGACGCCGCGUGAGUGAUGAAGUAUUUCGGUAUGUAAAACUCUAUCAGCAGGGAAGAUAAUGACGGUACCUGACUAAGAAGCACCGGCUAAAUACGUG
rnacentral:rRNA from 1 species